GGGUGAUUAGCUCAGCUGGGAGAGCACCUCCCUUACAAGGAGGGGGUCGGCGGUUCGAUCCCGUCAUCCACCCA
rnacentral:tRNA from 23 species